UGACUUCCAUUCGCAUCGGUAAAAGAAAUGAUGAUCUCAGUCAACAAGUCUUACGUAGGAAUUGAAUAGGAACGAUGAUAAAAAUAAUAAAGUUCUUUUCUCGUUCGCAAUUGGUUAGCCCGUUAACUGUUGACAAGUAGCAAGCAGGCUGAUGCAUCUUAUGGACAAUGACGCAACGCGUUCCUUCGAAGAGAAAGCGCUUGUGUUUUUUAAAGGCUAGUAAACAGGAAGACUCUAUGCAGGUCAACCGCGUUUGUCGAGGAAAACAAUAUACGGACACACCGACGACGACGGCUCGGCAACAUCGGGAAAUGGAGAUUAGGAGCUUCGAAAGAUGCGAACGAUGGAAGAAAAAUAAAGAAAAGAAGAAACGAGAGGAAAAGAAAAAGAAAAAGAAAAAAAGCCCUAAAGACGUUCGCCUGCUGUUUUCAAAAGUCACUCUAACGUCUCGCAAAAAGAAGAAUCAACCGAGUUUAAGUUCGGCCCAUCUAAUUUCAAUUUCUAUAGAUUAUCA
rnacentral:lncRNA from 1 species